UCUCCGUAGGUGAACCUGCGGAGGGAUCAUUACAGAGUAUCAUGCCCUUCGGGGUAGAUCUCCCACCCUGUGUAUUAUAUACCUUUUGUUGCUUUGGCGGGCCGCGAUUUUCGCGUUGGCCUUGGCUAACUGUGCCCGCCAGAGGACCCCAAACUCUGAAUGUUAGUGUCGUCUGAGUACUAUCUAAUAGUUAAAACUUUCAACAACGGAUCUCUUGGUUCUGGCAUCGAUGAAGAACGCAGC
rnacentral:misc_RNA from 1 species